AUGUAGGGCAAUCUGUCUUUAAGUAGGGAUAAAUUACUCUAAAAAAAGAAUCCUAGAUAGUUUUCGUUUUCCCUUCAAGCCAAGCAUCUUGU
rnacentral:pre_miRNA from 2 species